rnacentral:rRNA from 1 species
UACGGGGGGGGCAAGCGUUGUUCGGAAUUACUGGGCGUAAAGGGCUCGUAGGCGGCCAACUAAGUCAGACGUGAAAUCCCUCGGCUUAACCGGGGAACUGCGUCUGAUACUGGAUGGCUUGAGUUUGGGAGAGGGAUGCGGAAUUCCAGGUGUAGCGGUGAAAUGCGUAGAUAUCUGGAGGAAUACCGGUGGCGAAGGCGGCAUCCUGGACCGACAUUGACGCUGAGGAGCGAAAGCCAGGGGAGCAAACGGG